rnacentral:ncRNA from 1 species
CAAAGGUUUGGUCCUAGCCUUGUUGUCAAUUAUAGCUCUACUUACACAUGCAAGUAUCCGCACCCCUGUGAAAAUGCCCUUAAGCCUCACUUUAGAGGAUAAGGAGCUGGUAUCAGGCUCACACAUUAGCCCAUAACACUUUGCUAUGCCACACCCCCAAGGGAACUCAGCAGUGAUAAACAUUGAAUAUGAGCGACUCAAGCUCGACUCAGUUACAGCUUACAGGGUCGGUCAAUCUCGUGCCAGCCACCGCGGUUAUACGAGAGACCCAAACUGACAACCCCCGGCGUAAAGCAUGAUUAGAGGGGCCCCCCCCAUUAGAGUUAAAUAUUUGCUAGGCCGUCGUACGCUUUAGUUUAAUAGAAACACAACUACGAAAGUGACUCUACUCCCCCACCCCUUGAACUCACGACCGCUAUGACACAAACUGGGAUUAGAUACCCCACUAUGCCUAGCUUUAAACAUUGACUACUUACAUAAACAAUCCGCCAGGGAACUACGAGCCUCAGCUUAAAACCCAAAGGACUUGGCGGUGCCCUAAACCCACCUAGAGGAGCCUGUUCUAUAAUCGAUAACCCCCGCUUAACCUCACCACUUCUUGCCAAAACCGCCUAUAUACCACCGUCGCCAGCCCACCCCGUGAGGGAGACACAGUAGGCAGAAUGGCCCCCGCCAAAACGUCAGGUCAAGGUGUAGCGUAUGAAGUGGAAAGAAAUGGGCUACAUUUUCUGACUCAGAACACACGGAAGGUCACUAUGAAACCUGACCUAAAGGAGGAUUUAGUAGUAAAGAAAAACAAGAGAGUUCUCUUUAACUCGGCCCUGGGGCGCGCACACACCGCCCGUCACCCUCUUCAACACGCUGCUAUAAAAAUUUUUAAACAAAAUAAGCAAAAAAGAAGAGGCAAGUCGUAACAUGGUAAGUAUACCGGAAGGUGUGCUUGGAAUAA